GGAAUUCAUAGCCUUGAGCUUAGGCUUGGAAGCAAACCUGUUCAAUGGAUUCUUCAAAGACUCAACCAGCUCGAUCAGAAUCAAUCACUAUCCGCCCUGUCCUGCCCCUGACCUAGCCCUUGGUGUUGGCAGACACAAGGAUCCAGGUGCCUUGACCGUUCUAGCUCAAGACGACGUUGGAGGCUUGAAGUAAAGCGUAAAACUGAUGGAGAUGGAUUCGAGUAAAACCUACACCUAAUGCUUAUAUUAUUAAUGUUGGUGACAUAAUUCAGGUUUAUUCUACCCUCAUGAUUUUGUGUUUGUCUAUUUGGAGAAUUUGUCGCAAUCAUUUUCUCUACAGAAAUUAUAAAACUAAUACUAAUAGGUAAUAUUCAUUUUAGGACACAUGCAAGGGUAUUUGUUAGGUGUUCCACAUCUCAAAUAUAUACGAUUAGGCCAAUUCUUGAUGGUAAUUUAAUGCAGGUAUGGAGCAAUGACAAGUACGAGAGUGUGGAGCACAGGGUAAUGGUGAACUCAAAGAGGGAAAGGUUUUCCAUCCCAUUUUUCUUCACCCCCAAGCACUCAACUAUGGUGGAGCCUCUAGAUGAGCUAACAAAUGAGAAGAACCCUGCCAAGUAUAGGGCGUAUAGCUGGGGAAAAUUUAGAACUACGCGAAUACUUAGUAAUUUCAAGAAACUCGAUGUUGAAAACAUACAGAUAUAUUAUUUCAAGAUUACAGAAUGGUUAUCAUGUCAACCUAGCUUGGUGAGCUCUUGAUUUCAUAUAAGUUUGAUGCACUCAACCUGUGAUGUCAAGUACAUAUGGCUAGGCGGCCACUCACCUCAUGAUAGCAGUAUACAUAAUUACUCAUUGGGGUAUGAAUUACUCCCUCCGUCCCAAAUUAAUUGCUCAGUUUUGACUUUUUUAAGUCAAAUUGACUAUUUUUAGAAUUUAUAAUUAAGCAUAUAUAAAUAUAUUUCUAAAAUUAUAAAAAUUGGGAUUAAUAAUAAAUUGUAUAUACUUUCUAUUGGUUAUAAUCUCUUCACCUAUAUUUUAGUAAAAAUAGUAAAAAGAUUAAUUUUAAAAAUGGUCAAUUUGACUUUAAAAAGUCAAAAUUGAGCAAUUAAUUUGGGACAAAUGGAGUAUGAUGUUUCGUAAUGUACAAAGAUUAAUAAAUUGUUCAAAGCUGUAUGCAUGUAAUAAUGAUAUAUAGUAAUUAACAAAAUUGAGAGUAGUUUGAGACUUGAUAUACAUAUAGAGUUUGAAAUUGAAAGAAGAAUAAGACACACAACAGUUAAAACAGGAGGGGGUAAUCCAUGUCCUUAAGAGUACUAAGAAGAGAGAAUUUGAAAAGUGCACCUAAAGCGUCAAUGCAACGCAAACCCGCACCCGCUACCGGAUUGCGAGAAGGUGGUGCUUUGCACCACAUCAUUUCGACCAAAUGUGUGUCCUUUAGUACCAUAAAUAAAUUAAAUUGUUUCACUUAUGCUUAUAAAGCAUUAAAUAGUUUUACUUAUAUCGACGUGGAACUUACAGAAAAUAGUUUUUUGAAACAACAAUAAACCUUUUCAUAUAGUAAUGUUCUCUCUUAAUCUCCUUGUAGUAGACUAUCAAAUGUACUUAUAAUUGAAUUUAAAUUCAAUCAAUUAAUGGGUCUAAAUUAAUUCCAAAAUUAAUCAAAACUCAUAAAUGAAGAGGUGCAAUUUAACAAAAACUAUAGUGAUAUUGUUAUAAAUUCUUAAUAACAUGAGCAGUGUGGAAAUACUUGCAUUACUUAAUUUCUCAGUACAAUAUUCUUAAUCUAUAAAAUAAUUAAAUAAGUACCCCAUUUUGUAAAAUAUUCAAAGAUACGUCAUGCAUGAGGAAAUUGAUUGUAGAAAAGAUCAGGUGCGACACAAUUAUGGGAAGUAAGAAAUUAAAAGCAAAUUACUAUCAAGUCUCAAGGGAGUGGGAGUAGUGGAAGUAAUUGUUUUUUGUGAACGUGCAAUGGAAAAUUCGUGGUUGUAUCUUAAUCCAAGAAGAAAAAAACAAAAGAAAAUUUUAAAAAAAUUGAACCUUGAUAUAAAAUUGAUUGGCCUUCUUCAUUUUGAAAAGUUUUUUGGGUAAUUAUUUUUGUUCUUUCUGUUGUUUUUAACAUAUUUUCUAUUUUUGAUCUCGGCAAAUGAAAAUAAAUAUAAAAAUUUAAAAAUAGAAACGUACGAUUACCAAACGAAAGUUGGCCAGUGCAUGCAUCAUGCUUGAUUUAUUAAGUGACAAAAAACCAAACAAAGUUAAUGUCCAGGUUCAAUGUAUUCCCCCACCACACUCAUUUCUCAUCCUACGUACUACAUAUUACAGUGGAGCAAUUACCUUUCCUACAACCAAAACCAAAACCAAAACCAAAACCAACAAACUUAAUAGUAGUCCACCAACACCUACACCAACACCAACACCUUGGAAGAAGUUGAUCCAUGCUUCAUGCAAGCUAUUGAACACAGGCCGAAACCUUGUAUAAUCGAAGCCGAAGGGAUCCCACAAAUCGAUCUUUCAAUAUCGGAUUCAAAACUUUUAGUUUCCCGAAUAGAGGAGGCCUGCCAGAAUUGGGGAUUUUUCCAAGUCAUAAAUCACGGGGUGCCAUUAGAAUUGCAAGAAAAGAUUUUAUUGGCAUCGAGGGAGUUUUUUGGUCAGUCCAAAGAGGAGAGGCUGAAGGUGAGGAGAAAUGAAGUCAUCUCAAUUGGCUAUUCUGAUACUGAGCAUACCAAAAAUGUGAGAGAUUGGAAACAAGUGUUCGAUUUUUAUGUGGAUAAUCCCACGCAGAUGUUCGCUUCUCAUGAGCCUCAUAACAAAGACAUAAAAGAGUGGGUUAAUAAGUGGCCUCAAUAUCCACCACACUUCAGGUAAAAUAUAUAGCAUAUCCCUUCCUUUCUAAAUUACUACAAUAAUUUAAAUAUUUUUAAAGAUAAUAAUACAUUUAAAACAAAUAAAACUUACAAUUGACUAAUACAUUUUACAUACUAUUGUAUUGACAUGACAAAAAUUAAAGAAAUUUAUGUCAAUUUUAAAUUCAAAAAUAUCUUAAAUUAACUUCAAAAAAUCAAUAAUAAUCUUAUACUCGAACGUUUUGUCCAAACCCACUUAUGUCCGCCGCACCCACCCAUUUGUUAGUUCUAGUUUGGAGCUAUAGUCAUUUGGAUUUUAAAUAGUGUAUUUAUGAAUUAAAUAAGUUGUGAUAUAAAUUAUUAUUAGACGAACAAGACUUUGACGUAAUUGAAAUUUUCAAACCCAAAAUCUAAAAUUAAAUAAAAUAUGUAUUUCUCCAUAUUUUACAAGUUAUUUACAUCCAUAUAUUUAUAUUUUUGUAAAAGGUCUAAAUAAAACUAGCCCUUUUAAAUGCUAAGUGUGUUUAAUUGGUUUCUUGAAUUAGGGAGGUAUGCGAAGAAUAUGCUAAAGAAGUGAAAAAACUGUGUUACAAAUUAAUGGAAUUCAUAGCCUUGAGCUUAGGCUUGGAAGCAAACCGGUUCAGUGGAUUCUUCAAAGACUCGACCAGCUCGAUCCGGCUCAAUCACUAUUCGCCUUGCCCUGUCCCUGACCUAGUCCUUGGUGUAGGUAGACACAAGGAUUCCGGUGCGUUGACGGUUCUAGCUCAAGACGGCGUUGGAGGACUUGAAGUAAAGCGAAAAACUGAUGGAGAGUGGAUUCGGGUGAAACCUACUCCUAAUGCUUAUAUUAUCAAUGUUGGUGACAUAAUGCAGGUAUAAUUAAUUCAUACAUUUCGGACUUCAAUUUGCACUGCAUCAAUUUUAUAGUCCUCAUAUGAAAAUAAAAUGAAUGCAGGUAUGGAGCAAUGACAAGUACGAGAGUGUGGAGCACAGAGUAAUGGUGAACUCAAAGAAGGAAAGAUUUUCCAUCCCAUUUUUCUUCAACCCCAGUCACUCGACUAUGGUGAAGCCUUUAGAUGAGCUGCUAACAAAUGAGGAAAAUCAAGCCAAGUAUAGGGCGUAUAGCUGGGGUAAAUUUUCAGCUACGCGAAAACGUGGUAAUUUCAAGAAAUCCAAUGUUGAAAACCUCCAGAUAUAUCAUUUCAGGAUAUCAGAAUAGUUGUCAUAUGUCAACCCGGCCUCUUGAUUUCAUGCAAUAAACUUGUGAUGUCAUGUACAUUAAUAUGGCUAGCCGUCCUUUCACGUACUCAUCAUAGCAAUAUUAUUACUAAUUGUAAUUGGGAUAUAUAUAUAUAUAUAUAUAUAUGUGUGUGUGUGUGUGUGUGUGUGUGUGUGUGUGUGUGUGUGAUGGAUGUUAAAGGAAAAAAAUAGUGUACAGAGAUCAAUACAUUGUUCAAUUUACAGCUCGAUCAAUCCUGGUACUACUGAGUCAAAACCGGAAUGCAUGUUUCGGUUUUAAUUCUACUGUUCGAUGUAUAUAUAGUAUAUGGCCCGUAUAUCCACCAGUAUGUAUGUUACCUUUCUUACAAACAAACCAUCCACCCACCAUCUCUCUCAACAAAUUUAACUACUACUGGUAGAUUAAUUUGGGAGAAGUUGAUCCAGCCUAAACCUACUAAAAAUGUAAGAGACUAGAAAGAAGUGUUUGAUAUUACUGUUGAGAAUCCAACCUUGAUGAAAUUAGAGAUAAAAGAGUGGGUUAAUCAGUGGCGACAUGAGCCUCAUGACGACAAAUUAGAGAUAAAAGAGUGGGUUAAUCAGUGGCCUCAAUAUCCACCAAACUUCAACCCUUCAAGUGAUUUAUACUCCAUUUCACAUAACUAGUUAUAAUAUUAAUUGUUUUAAGAGUAUCUCCCGCAGUGCCCGAGUCCACAAAUUUUAUAUUAUAUUUAGUCUAAAAACACAGAUCUCGCUCCAGUAGAUGGACUAAAUAUAGUCCAUUGAAUUUUCCGUUCCUAAAAGAUUAGGUCAAUAAUACAUAAGAUAUACUCCCUCCGUUUCUAAAAGAUUAUCGUUUUAGAAAAAAAAAAAUGUUCCAAAAAAUUUGUCGUUUACAACUUUCGAGAAAAAUAAAUUAUUUACUUUCCUAUAUUACCACUACAUUCUCUCAUUGUCUCAAGAAAUUCUCUCCCUUGUACUCCCUCUGUCACAGGAUAAAAGUUCUGUUGGAUUUUUCACGCAUAUUAAGAAGAGGAAUGAAAUGACAAAAUUGUCCAUAAUAAUGUCAUUAAUUAUUUUCAAUGUAAGUGAGAGAGUGACUUUCUAACUAUUCAAUUUAAAAUAUUCUAUGCCCAUACUUAUUAAAUAUGGAGAGAAAAUUAGAAUAAGAAAAAUAUGAGAUAAUUAAUGUUACGGUCAUAAUAGGAAAAAAUGUGUAAAAGUUUGAUUAUUAAAAGAAAGUGGACAUACAUGGAACUACCCAUGUGACGCCCCCAAAAUAGGUAUACAUCACCCAUUCUGAGUCGCCAAUAACAUGGUACAAAAAUAACUACAACUUUAUUGUUACAACAUAUAAACUGUGAGUUUAAAUACAGAUAUUGCCAUCUAGACAAUAUCCACAUACAAAUAAAUCCUCAUCAUAAUUAUUGAUACAUUAUUUUACAAAAAUGAUGAGGACUACUAAACAACUCUCUAAAACCAUCAUUCCAUACCCCGACUCGUACUCGCUACAUUCUCGCCUCCUGAGAAGAAAAAUGGAACAAAAAGGAAAAGGGUGAGCUCAACUAGCCCAGUAAAGAAUAUUAUGACUAAGAUAAUAUACAACAAAUUAUCGUUAGUCUUCAACAGGGAAAAAUUUAAUAGAAUACAAUAGACAACAAGUUUUAAAUCAAUAUUCGCAGCGGAAAUAAUAAUUCAUUAGAAGAGUUAAGUAGAGAAUGCAAACUACUAUCUUCUAUGUAUGAAUUUAAAAGUUCAUCGUCUAUCUUUUAUCCCUGUAACAUCAAUCAAUAUAUAUCUGGAAUCAAAUAUUCAUCUUUGCACUACAGGCCAAAGAUAUUCAUCAGUUGGUCAUGUUCAUCUAAACACCUGUUCAUCUUUGCACUACGGGCCAAAGAUAUUCAUCAGAAAUCAUUCAUCUUUGCACUACAGGCCAAAGAUAUUCAAUAAUAUCAUCAUUUAAGACUGAGGAUGAUGAAAAAAAUUUUUUUUUUAAAGAAACGAAUCCAGUGAAACAAAAUGACAAGGAUUAAGGAUUAAGGAUUCGUACUUUGUUUUAUCCACGUCCAAAAAUACCUCAAAAAUAAUCAUAGUGGUGUAAAAUUCAAGAAUGAUCAAAACAUGGAUACAAUCAAAGCUAGUAUCCACAAUAGAUAUUUUGGACGAAAAGAAAAAUUUUCAUUUUUCGAUGAAUAGUGCCGUAUUCGUGAAUAGUACCGUAUACGUGAAUAGUGCCGUAUACGUGAAUAGUAACUCCGACACCAAAAGUUCCAAAUUUGAUAAAAACUUCAGAUCAAUAUUUCAGCAUAAUGAUAUUGAAGAAAUAAUAUCAUUACGAAAAAAAAUAAUAUCCCUUACCUCGGAAAGACAGUACUUCUAACUGGAAUACUGGAUAUAGGCUAUAACUUGAACUUUCACCGUAUAGCAAUACUCAAAGUAUACUCAAAAUACUCACAAGAAUACGCUCGACAAUAUAGAGAGAGAAAACUUCAGUUUCUGGUGUGAUUUUCAAUUCUAACAUAAGCACCCUAUUUAUAGAAAAUUGCUUAGAACACCAAAGCAGAAAAUUUAAUAAAUUAAUAAUAUAUUAAUUAAUAUUCCAACGCCAACAUUUGAAGAACUGAAAUCAGUCAUUAACAUCACAUGCAAGACCCGCCAUUAAUGCCAAAAACAUUUUUCUUAUUUAAAUUAUUUUAAACUUCUAAAAAUCAAUUAUUUCGGAGCUUCGGAACUUCAAUAAUUCACAAUAAAUAGUCCUUUUGUCAGAAAAUUCAAAUCUCGCGAGUUUUUAUAGGAAAUUCAAUUCUCUACAACUUUGCAGAAGGAAGUUUUUCCAAAUUCCAAACAGAAAUUGACCGAAAUUCAUAAACGGACGAUUUUACUGACUAUAGACAAAUUUCAGUCAAGAAAUGGGGUCCGCCGACAUGAAAAACAUGUUUUAAAUAUUUUUGGUAACAAAAAUACUCCUCCUCCACAAAUACUCAUAUAUCCCACAUUCAUCAUAAAAAUAUCAUCAUUAUUAUAUUAUUAAAAUAUAAUAAUAUAUUUAAAUGAAUUAUUUUAUCAGAAAAAGAUAAAAUUUUAAUUUUCAACAAUUGUCACAUUAAAAAUUUUCUCCAUCUAUAUCCACAUAAAAUAAAUAUUUUCUUUAUCAUAAUAAUCAAUAAUUAAUUAUUUAAAAAUAAUAUUACAGAAUCACAGUACUGACAACCAGGCCGUUCCCAGGAAAGAGGGGGCUUUCCAAUAAGGAUUUCUCCUUACUGGCGCGCAAUUAGGUGACCAAACCUCUCCUUAGACAGAACUUUCUAGACAUUGCCAAUAAUGUUAUCUGAUAAUAUUAUUCAAAUAAUAUGAAUUAUUGAUUUGAUAAUGGAAAAUACUGUGUAAUGACAAUUAUUGAAACAACAGUGAUACAAAAUAUCAACGCAGCAAUUAUUGAAUCAAUAUAAUAUUGAACAGUAACUACUGUAACAAUUAUUGAGUAGUGCCUUCUUACGUAAGGAUCAAUAAUUCAACAAUACUGUGCAAUACCGUGUGCUACUGUGCAAAAACCCGUAUUACUGUGUUUUAACCACCGGGUAUUCCAACAGUGUAAACAGUAAUAACUACGCCGUUAUUUUUAAACAACUUAUAUUUGUCGUUUUCUUCCUCCAAUCGCUUUCCGUUAUGGGGCCCACACAUGGCUGCGCCGUCGUACGAAUAUUCCCCGACAGUACGAAUAUUCCACGACCAAACGAAUAUUCCCCGACAACAAUGAAUAUUUUAUAACCACUUGCUUAUUUUGUAAAAUUUGCGCAUUUUACCCAUAACUAACCACAUUAAUCAAAUCAACCCUUACUAUUUCAAAAUAAUAAAUAAAGAAAAUUCCAUUUUAUUUAUAAAAAAAUUCGGGGUCUUACAACCCAAAAUAGUAAUAAGGACUUUUUUCAUGGGACGGAGGGAGUAUUAAUAGUUUUUAACUUCCCAUAAAGGGGUAGUGAUGAAAUUUCAAACAAAUUUUACUUAGUAAAUGAUACUCCCUCCGUUCCUAAAAGAUUGUCGUUUUAUAAGAAAAAAUUUGUUCCAAAAUGUUUGUCGUUUACAACUUUCGAGGAGAAUAAAUUAUUUACUUUCCUAUAUUACCCCUAUCUUCUCUCAUUGUCCCAAAAAAUUCUCUCCCUUUAUUAAUAGUUAACUUCCCAUAAAUGGGUAGUGAUGGAAUUUUAAACAAAUUUUACUUUGGUAUAUGAUACUACCUCCGUUCCUAAAAAAUUGUCGUUAAAGGUUUUGACACAUGGAUUAAGAAAGUAUCAUUUACCAAGUAAAAUUUGUUUAAAAUUCCAUCACUACCCCUUUAUGGGAAGUUGAAAACUAUUAAUAUAAGGGAGAGAUUUUCUUGGAAAAAUGAGAAAAGAUAGGGGUAAUAUAGGAAAGUAAAUAAUUUAUUCUCCUCGAAAGUUGUAAACGACAAUCUUUUUGGAACAAAUUUUUUUUUUUAAAACGACAAUCUUUUAGGAACGGAGGGAGUAAUUUCUUAAUCUAUGUGCUAAAACUUUAAAUGAAAAUCUUUUAAAAACGGAUGAAGUAUAAUAUAAUAAUAAUUGAUGAAUAAUUGUUGAAAGAUUUUGAUUUUUUUUUAUUAGCAAACUUUAGUGAUUAUUUCUCUUGGGGGACCAUCAUCAUUUAACUUAUUUAGCAAUUAUUUCUCCUAUGGGACCCACCAUCAUUUAACUUAUUUAGCAAUUAUUUCUACUGUGGGACCCACCAUCAUUUAACUUAUUUAGCAAUUAAUUCUCCUGUAGACACAAAUAUUAGUAAUAUUAAGUACUUAGUUUUGAAUGCUCGAUCGAUCAAACAUUACAUUUAUACUUAAAAUGUUUAUAUAACAAUUAAUUUCUUGAUUUAAAUUAAUUUUUUUUAUAAAUUUAGAUUUAUUACAUUUAAAUUUAAGAUAAUUUUUAAUUAUAAAAAUUUAAAUAAAGAUACUCUAAUGUAUCGUAUUUUAAGCUAUGUAACAUACGACGUUCAUAUACGUUUUAUGUUCAGAUAACACUGUACAAGAGUCAUAAAAAAAUAUUUUUUAAGUAACAUAAAAUCAAACAUAGUGGUAAUAAAAGAUUCGAUUAACAUAAAAUUAACUUCAUGAUAAAUUGAUCAAUUGAUCAAUACAGUACUGACACAUAAAAGAAGAAAAAUCACCUCAUAUCUAAAUAUCAAUAUUAUAUUGAUCAAUUUAUCAAAAUUAAUUUCAUGUUAACCACGAACACGACCGGUACUAAACAACAAUCAUGGCCGUACUCAAUGUAAUAAAUCAUUCUAACCAUUCUCAUUUCUCUCCUAUAAUAUAUAGUGUCACUAUUACCUUUCCUUAACAAUUACACUCAACCAACCCAUCUCUCAACCAAGUUAACUAUAAUUAAUACUCUUAUUUAUCUAAAUUAGCCAUGGGAGAAGUUGAUCCAAGCUUCAUUCAAGCCAUUGAACACAGGCCUAAACCUACCAUCAUCGAAGCCGAAGGCAUCCCGUUAAUCGAUCUUUCUGAAUCAAACCCAGAAAUUUUAGUUACCCAGAUCGGCGAUGCCUUCAAGAAUUGGGGAUUUUUCCAAGUGAUCAAUCAUGGGGUAGACUUGGAAUUGCGGAAAAAGAUGGAAUUGGCAUCGAGGAAGUUCUUUGGUCAGUCGAAAGAAGAGAAAUUGAAGGUUAGGAGAGAUGAAGAGAAUCCGAUGGGUUAUUAUGAUACCGAGCUAACCAAAAAUGUUAGGGAUUGGAAAGAAGUGUUUGAUUUUCUCGUGAGGAUUCCGACUUUUUUGCCGGCGUCUCUUGAUCCUGAUGACACGGCGGUGAAAGAGGUGGUUAAUAAAUGGCCGGAUUAUCAACCGGAGUUGAGGUAAUGAGUUCAACUAGCUAGCUACUCCAUUUGUCCCUCUCAUUUAUAUAAAAAUUCGGCAAAAAAACUAAUUAAUUUAAAAUUGUAUUUCCCUCCGUACAUUUAUAUUAUUAUUGUCCAGAUUUUGCAAAAAAAAAACAGAGAAACAUUUUUUGAUGUCAAAUUAAAGGCCAAGUAAGUAUCUAAUAGAUUUCUUGAAUCAGGGAGGUAUGCGAAAAAUAUGCUCAAGAAGUGGAAAAAUUGUGUUUCAAAUUAAUGGAAUUCAUAGCCUUGAGCUUAGGCUUGGAAGCAAACCGGUUCAGUGGAUUCUUCAAAGACUCGACCAGCUUGAUCCGGCUCAAUCACUAUCCUCCCUGCCCUGCCCCUGACCUAGCCCUUGGUGUUGGUAGACACAAGGAUUCCGGUGCGUUGACGGUUCUAUCUCAAGACGACGUGGGAGGACUUGAAGUAAAGCGAAAAACUGAUGGAGAGUGGAUUCGGGUGAAACCUACUCCUAAUGCUUAUAUUAUCAAUGUUGGUGACAUAAUGCAGGUAU
rnacentral:lncRNA from 1 species